rnacentral:lncRNA from 1 species
AAGCUGAGAUGAGCAAGAUUGUUUUUGCUCCCCACCUGCUUCACCAGCCGAGCCCCGAAGUAGUUUCCUUCUGGGCGGAGUGAAUUCUCGGUGCUGCCAGGAAAAGGUCCCAGAGGGGCAGGCGGGCUCCCCCUCCCUGCAGGGCUCCAGCCCGGCUCUCUGGCUGGGACGCGUUGCCUUGGCGGUAGCCAUGGGGACCAGAGCUGGCUGGUGCUCCGAUUCACACAAGAUUGCGAAAAUAACUCGGCGGUGCUGAGUUAAAUCGCUUUGUUACAAGUUUUAGGAGGCCUGUACUCUUUACCGUAUUCUGAUGCAGAGUGAAGAAAAUUUGCUCAAGAUUUGGAUGUAAAAGGGAAGCAUCAGAUAUCACUGCCUGCCUAUUGUCCUAAACAACU